UCAAUUUGUCUUUAACUUUUUUCAUUAAAUAAUGUUUUACUUAGAAAAAAUAUGGGUGUGUCGACCUAAAAAGAAGACUGAUAUAAGAUGAAAGAGAAGUGAAGAAAUCCCAAAAUAUUUUUUUACUUCAGCAACAGAGUAGUGAUCCAAAAUUUGCAGUAGCAUGACAAAAUUACGAUAAAUGCAAUUUUCAGGGAAUCAAGAAAAGACAACUCAAUAUCAAUUUUUGAAUUGUUAAAACUCUAUAUUAACAAUAUUUUUUAUUCAAAAUGUCCUUCUUCACAUCAAUAACAGCUUUGACAUCCCAGUGAAUAAAUUCACAUGGCAUGACGAUGAAGGGCGUGUCUAUGGCGUAUCACGUUGUCAUGAAGGUAGCACGUAGAAAUUCCAAAUUUUGAUUAUAAGUGUGGGAGUCAUUCUUCUUCAACACACUCUAAGCUGAAAAGUCGGGGGAGUUUAGGUCAGGACUAGAGGAGGUCCACAUUGAGUCCGGCCAAAAUUCCUCCAUAUUUUUGCUGCUGAAGUUUUAGUUAUUUUGACUCUAUGGGAAUGUAAUGGACUUCUAAAUGGAGUAUGGAUAUGGAAUUGGUCUUUGCAACCUUCUUGGGAAUCGAACUGGUGAGGAGAAGAUCGCACACGUGUUGCCUUUUUGUUGUUUCAAAAUAUGUAAAUAUUUUCUACAUUGUGCACAGUUGAAGAAGAAGUAGCAGGGUUGGCAUGGUUUCUUAAGAAUUUUAUAACUUCAUUUUGGAAUGUAACAGGUUAGUUUAUUUAGAAGAGGAGGAAGAAUCCUGAGGGGAGUUGAUUUCUGAUUUUCAAAGAAACUUCUUAUGGAAGCUUUUUUUGAAUAAUUAUAUAUUCUAUUAUUGGUAUGUGGAUUGUAUAUUUGAUAAAUAGGGAUUAAUGUUUAAUUGUGAAUGUUCCAGGACACUAUUUGAAGCAAUUUCGUGACAUUGGAGGUUAGAGGUACUGUGUGGUCGCAGAUAAAUUGUUGAGAUGGACUUUGGUUUCCGCUUUAUCUGAUUCUAAAGGAAUAAAAAAGUUGUUGGGAAGCUUGAUAAUUUUCUUCACUACGUUUGGAGUUCCUGAAGAAAUCUCCAGUGUCAUUGGGCUGGAAUUUGCAUCUUUUGAAACGUAUAAUGGAAGAACAGAGGUGACAAUGAAACAAGUCAAGAGACAACACUAUAGAGCGUUUUUGGGUAAAUUAUUUUUUUAAAUAAAAUUCCAUACUUUCAGCUAUCCAAUGAUAUACUUUUAAACUUUUUGAAUGUAUUUGUCUUGAAGCUAUGAGCUUCCAAAUAAA
rnacentral:lncRNA from 1 species